rnacentral:tRNA from 1 species
UCCCUGGUGGCUCAGAUGAUAAAGAAUCUGCCUACAAUGCAGAAGACCCAGGUUUGAUCCCUGGGUUGGGAA